rnacentral:rRNA from 1 species
AUGGGCGACCAUUAUUGCUCCCUCGGCCUGUUCUUCCUCACGCACUUGUUCAGCGACGAUGAACAAGAGCAGGAUGAACGAGCGGCUCAACCGACCCGGCGCAACAAGAGAGACCACAGCGAGCCCGCAAGCCAGUCGCUGAUGGGUGGGGCCUCGCCCCCAGUGCGCCUCCUCCCGCCGCAGGACGGGAGGAUGAAGCACUCUGACACGUGGGCCAGAACUACCGCCGGUAUAAAACCCGGCAUCGCCCCUUCCUCUCGCCUUGCCCCUGCUCACAACCCCGACCCCGAGGAUCCGCGUUUCGAUUGCCCCCAUUGUCGAUCGACGUCGACCUCGAGCACGAGCACAGGGAGAUGGCCGCAGUCGAGCGUGGUCCUCGAGCAGGGCGUGGCGGCCCUGGCCGCGCCCAGGGGCAUUAGAGGGGCCCUGCUGCUGCCGUCGUGGUGGCAGCUCCUGUCCCAGUACCAGCACAGCCGCAGCCGCAGGUGA